rnacentral:rRNA from 1 species
UAGUACCUGCAGGAAGAGAAAGAAAAUUCGAUUCCCUGAGUAGCGGCGAGCGAAACGGGAAGAGCCCAAACCAACAAGCUUGCUUGUUGGGGUUGUAGGACUCCGAUAUGGUAGUCUGUUAGUAUAGUUGAAGGAUUUGGAAAAUUCCGCUAAAGAGGGUGAAAGCCCCGUAGACGAAAUGCUGACAACACCUAGGAGGAUCCUGAGUACGGCGGAACACGAGAAAUUCCGUCGGAAUCCGCGGGGACCAUCCCGCAAGGCUAAAUACUCCCUAGUGACCGAUAGUGAACCAGUACCGUGAGGGAAAGGUGAAAAGCACCCCGGAAGGGGAGUGAAAUAGAUCCUGAAACCGUGUGCCUACAACAAGUCAAAGCUCGUUAAUGAGUGAUGGCGUGCCUUUUGUAGAAUGAACCGGCGAGUUACGAUUGCAUGCGAGGUUAAGUCGAAGAGACGGAGCCGCAGCGAAAGCGAGUCUGAAUAGGGCGAAUGAGUAUGUAGUCGUAGACCCGAAACCAUGUGAUCUACCCAUGUCCAGGUUGAAGGUGCGGUAAAACGCACUGGAGGACCGAACCCACGUACGUUGAAAAGUGCGGGGAUGAGGUGUGGGUAGCGGAGAAAUUCCAAACGAACUUGGAGAUAGCUGGUUCUCUCCGAAAUAGCUUUAGGGCUAGCCUCGGAAUUGAGAAUGAUGGAGGUAGAGCACUGUUUGGACUAGGGGCCCAUCUCGGGUUACCGAAUUCAGAUAAACU